rnacentral:rRNA from 1 species
UACGGAGGAUCCAAGCGUUAUCCGGAAUCAUUGGGUUUAAAGGGUCCGUAGGCGGUUAGUAAGUCAGUGGUGAAAGCCCAUCGCUCAACGGUGGAACGGCCAUUGAUACUGCUGAACUUGAAUUAUUAGGAAGUAACUAGAAUAUGUAGUGUAGCGGUGAAAUGCUUAGAGAUUACAUGGAAUACCAAUUGCGAAGGCAGGUUACUACUAAUGGAUUGACGCUGAUGGACGAAAGCGUGGGUAGCGAACAGG